AGAGUUUGAUCCUGGCUCAGGAUGAACGCUAGCUACAGGCUUAACACAUGCAAGUCGAGGGGCAGCGGGAUUGAAGCUUGCUUCAAUUGCCGGCGACCGGCGCACGGGUGAGUAACGCGUAUCCAACCUUCCGUACACUCAGGGAUAGCCUUUCGAAAGAAAGAUUAAUACCUGAUGGUAUGAUGAAAUUGCAUGAUAGCAUCAUUAAAGAUUUAUCGGUGUACGAUGGGGAUGCGUUCCAUUAGGUAGUAGGCGGGGUAACGGCCACCUAGCCUACGAUGGAUAGGGGUUCUGGAGAGGAAGGUCCCCCACACUUGGAACUGAGACACGGUCCAAACUCCUAACGGGAGGCA
rnacentral:rRNA from 1 species